AGAGUUUGAUCCUGGCUCAGGAUGAACGCUAGCGGCAGGCUUAAUACAUGCAAGUCGUGGGGCAGCAGGGGUAGCAAUACCCGCUGGCGACCGGCAAACGGGUGCGGAACACGUACGCAACCUUCCUUUAAGCGGGGAAUAGCCCAGGGAAACUUGGAUUAAUACCCCAUAAGACAAUGGGAUGGCAUCAUCUAGUUGUUAAAGCUCCGGCACUUAAAGAUGGGCGUGCGGCUGAUUAGGUAGUUGGCGGGGUAACGGCCCACCAAGCCGACGAUCAGUAACUGGUGUGAGAGCACGACCAGUCACACGGGCACUGAGACACGGGCCCGACUCCUACGGGAGGCAGCAGUAAGGAAUAUUGGUCAAUGGACGCAAGUCUGAACCAGCCAUGCCGCGUGGAGGAUGAAGGCCCUCUGGGUUGUAAACUUCUUUUAUAGGGGAAGAACUCUAUCUUUUCUAAGGUAGUUGACGGUACCCUGUGAAUAAGCACCGGCUAACUCCGUGCCAGCAGCCGCGGUAAUACGGAGGGUGCAAGCGUUAUCCGGAUUCACUGGGUUUAAAGGGUGCGUAGGUGGGCAGGUAAGUCAGUGGUGAAAUCUCCGGGCUUAACCCGGAAACUGCCGUUGAUACUAUUUGUCUUGAAUAUAGUGGAGGUGAGCGGAAUAUGUCAUGUAGCGGUGAAAUGCUUAGAUAUGACAUAGAACAUCGAUUGCGAAGGCAGCUCGCUACACUAUUAUUGACACUGAGGCACGAAAGCGUGGGGAUCAAACAGGAUUAGAUACCCUAGUAGUCC
rnacentral:rRNA from 1 species